rnacentral:piRNA from 1 species
UAAACGUCACAUUUGUUUCUA